CUGGGCUUCUUCUGUGUUGACAAUUUUAGGACGAAGAGCUUCCCUGAGCCAUGGAGUUCUCAGAAAGGAAAGCCAUGAAAUACUUACCAGCUUAUUGGAUGAUAUAAAGGGAUGACAAGAUGCUUCUGCCCUAUCUUUUCUGUGACUGUUUUCCCUGCCUCCUGAGAAGAAUGCUGAGAAUUGCUGUCAUUGUGUGCCCACCCUGUACCCACCUACCUCUCAAAUAGAGGAGCCAAAGGAAAAGAGGAAGGAGAAUAGAAACAGUCAGAUUAUAAACAAGAAGCAGAAACUGGAUUUCAGUCAUCUACUUACCAGUACAUGUGGAAAGAACUGAACACAAACACUUUCAUACCGGAAGACUGCUAUGGCUGUGUCAUGCCAUAGCUUUUGCUCAGUGCCAGCAUAUUAGAUGCAACCAAAAUUGUUUCACCAUCAAAAUGGACAGAUUUAAAGCCUAUGAGGCACAGCUUCAUUGCAGUUCCGGUAUAUAAACAAAGCUUACCUAUUACAGGGCCCUCUCUGUGGCAUCCCUGUCAUUCAUUGUAGCACAUCAAUCAGGACACACCUAUUUUUUUCUCAGUAGGCUUUUAGUCAUCGGCAGUAUUCAUAACACAUAACACUAACAGAUGUUUUUGCUUCUUUCCUUUUCCUUCCACAUGUCUUUCAAACACAAACAUUAGCUCAGACCUUCUAAGAGUAGCCUUGCAAUUCUCUUUUAUCUUACCACAAGGAGACCAAUUCAUUACAGCAAAACAGCUUCUCCUAAAUCCUAUCCUUGUCUUACAACGCUCAGCAGAAAUUAAAGCCGUCUCCAACUUCCUUAUUUUCAAGGUGUCCAAGUGUCUCACUGCCACACUCCUCUACUUGUUUUUCUUUCUUCCUAUUCUCCAGUGCUACACAAGCUUCCCUUCAGGGCAAGCUCCUUGGGACUUUUGGUCCAUAGGUCCCUUUCAAAAUGCCUCACUUGAGCACUCAGAACAUAGAGUUCAUCUCAGCACAGGCUCCAGCUGUGGUCAGCGAGAGUCACAGGGAGGUCACCCCCUGCUUGAAAAUGAGACAAGCUGCACUCCCGUCACCAGGCACAGAGCCAGGUGACUGGUUCAGCCAUAGACAUCUCUCUGUGCUGUGGAUGUCUACACUGGAGGAGAUUAAUGCUGUCCUCAGACCUGUCUGAACAACCUGCAGCAUCUAUAAUGCAUUUUAUGCAUAUUUUUAAUUAAUUUGUUUAUUAUAAUUCCUGUUAUUGAAUCAUGAUACAGAAGAUAAUUUCUCUCAGCAGUUGCAUUACAUUUUGAACUAAUAAUUUGUUGUUGUUUCCCAAAGCACCUGCAGUAGCUUUAUUUGUUCUCCAAUAAAACUUUCCUUUGCCUGGAGAGCUAUCAUACUCCUCGGCCAAAAGACAGUAAACAAUAAUGUGGAAUACACAAGUAGUUUAUGAGUCAGUUUUCUGUCAAUGAAAUUCUUAAAAAUGAAUUGGCAAAUGUAGACGGUGUUAAGAAAUCCCAGCUCACACUAGCAUUAUGCUUUCUCCCCUGGAGACAUUCAUUCUCUGUGUUUUUAUUGGUAUAAAACUCAGCUGGACCACAGCUUUUGAAUGGCACUUUGGAGAUGGAAUUUAAAAAAAAAAAAAAUUGUCGUUUUCAACAGACACAGAGCCACAGAGAGCUCUUGUGUUGAAUUUCAUUACAAUUUCUUCAUUUUUCCAUACUUAAGGACUACCUUGGUAAGUGAGUAAAAAUAAAAAUAUUGUGUGUACCCUUUUGCCCAAGUAGUUGCCUCUGUUCCCAUGGUCCUUGCUUUCCUAUGUUAGCUGCUGACUUGUGAUAUGGAAGCUACAGUAA